AGUGAACAGACAACAUGUUCUGUGACCUCAACAAAUUGCACAAAGCACAUUGAUAUUUAUCAACUCAGUAGGCCUGUGAUCACUUUGGACAACGUGUCACCGGUCGAACAACAGUGGUUUAAUGCUACAACCCUCCAGUCCUGCAUAAAUUCCUGACUGACACAAUUUUUUUGUUAUAUAGAAAUCGAGGGAAUGUAUCAUCUUAAUGAUGCAGCUGCAAGUAGGGAACACUAUUUAGGGGGCCUCAUUUAAAUUCCAGGCCUCCCAGCCAAGCAGAACAGAGGACCAGACUACAGAUAAAUGGCUCCACCAGGCUCAGUCUGGGAUCGCCAUCACUACUUAGGAUAGCUAGGACCAUAUGAGUGCGCUUGCAUUAAAACCUUGAAGUUCUGAUGUUUAUGUUUUUAUUUUUUUCUCUUUUCUUGAAGUGAAUAUUCACAUCAUUCUUCAGCAGUUAAGUGGGUCUUAAGUGGAGGGAUCCUGUGCGAAGAGCGCUUUUAUCAAAACGUUUUGUUUUUUUCUAAAUGUUGAACAAAUUUGAAGGAAAAUGUUCAGUCAAUACAUGGGAAAUCAUAACUGCUGCAUUGAAGCUGUAAUAUGUGUUGUUUGAUGUGAUUAUGGGUAUUUUGGUUGCUUGGUUGCUUUUUUUAACAUCAUAAUCACACCUAUAAUCAUAAUAGCAAGAUCCACCCUCU